UUUUUUUAAAGGAAACAAAUCAUGCCAUAUAAAAAAAGGCAGAAUAAAGCUGCACACAGUAAUGGAGUAACCAAAAGAACCUCAAGAACCAUUAAAACAUAUUAAAGAACUGAAAUUUAAAUUUCUUUUUCCCUUUGGAUCAAUCUCUUCUCUCCCAUGUUACCCUCAACAAAGUGAAGAUCUUCACUAAUUAAACUAAAAAAAGAAAACAAAAAUCAGAAAAUGAAAGAAAAAACUGAAGAGAAAUUAGAAGGAAGUAACAACUACUACCAUGCUUACUCUCUAUAUCUAGCUAACAUUUAUUAUCGUCAU
rnacentral:misc_RNA from 1 species